CUGUCCUAUGGCGUGAUCGAGGCGUUGCGUCAGCUCCGGCCUGACGCCAAGGAACUCGAACUGGUCCAUCGUCUGGAUCGGGAUACG
rnacentral:tRNA from 1 species